GACGAACGCUGGCGGCGUGCUUAACACAUGCAAGUCGAACGGAAAGGCCCUGCUUUUGUGGGGUGCUCGAGUGGCGAACGGGUGAGUAACACGUGAGUAACCUGCCCUUGACUUUGGGAUAACUUCAGGAAACUGGGGCUAAUACCGGAUAGGAGCUCCUGCUGCAUGGUGGGGGUUGGAAAGUUUCGGCGGUUGGGGAUGGACUCGCGGCUUAUCAGCUUGUUGGUGGGGUAGUGGCUUACCAAGGCUUUGACGGGUAGCCGGCCUGAGAGGGUGACCGGCCACAUUGGGACUGAGAUACGGCCCAGACUCCAACAGGAGACAGCAGGGGGAAAUAUUGCACAAUGGGCGGAAGCCUGAGACAGCAACGCCGCGUUCGGGAUGACGUCCUGCUGGUUGUAAACCGCUUUCGCCUGUGACGAAGCGUGAGUGACGGUAAUGGAUAAAGAAGCACCGGCUAACUACGUG
rnacentral:rRNA from 1 species